GAGCCGGCCGAGCAGUCGCUGUCUCCGCUUGCGGGGAUAGAGGAAAGUCCGGGCUCCAUAGGGCAGGGUGCCAGAUAACGUCUGGACGGCGUGAGCCGAUGGAAAGUGCCGCAGAAAAUAUACCGCCUAAGCACGCAAGUGCCGGUAAGGGUGAAAUGGUGCGGUAAGAGCGCACCGCGUGGCUGGCAACAGGCACGGCAGGGUAAACCCCACCCGGAGCAAGACCAAAUAGGAACCUAAUGGCGCGGCCCGCGUCGGGUUCGGGUAGGUUGCUUGAGGCUGACGGUGACGUCAGUCCCAGAUGAAUGACUGUUCUCGACAGAACCCGGCUUACAGGCCGGCUCUUC
rnacentral:RNase_P_RNA from 1 species